rfam:Ornithorhynchus anatinus chromosome 4, whole genome shotgun sequence.
GUCUACGGCCAUACCACCCUGAACGCACCCGAUCUCAUCUGAUCUUGGAGGUUAAGCAGGCCUGGUUAGUACCUGGAUGGGAGACCACCUGGCAAUACUGGGUGCUGGAGGCU